UGGAGGGCAAGUCUGGUGCCAGCAGCCGCGGUAAUUCCAGCUCCAAUAGCGUAUAUUAAAGUUGUUGCAGUUAAAAAGCUCGUAGUUGAAUUUCGGAAUUCAUCCGUCGGUCGGGCUUAACUGUCCGUACUGGUGUGAUGGGUUCCUACCUUCUGAAUAACCGGCAUGCCAUUAAUUUGGUGCGCCGGGGAAGCAGGACUGUUACCUUGAAAAAAUUAGAGUGCUUAAAGCAGGCUAUCGCCUGAAUACAUUAGCAUGGAAUAAUGAAAUAGGACGGCAUGGUUCUAUUUUGUUGGUUUCUAGGAUCACCGUAAUGAUUAAUAGGGAUAGUUGGGGGCAUUAGUAUUCAAUUGUCAGAGGUGAAAUUCUUGGAUUUAUUGAAGACUAACUUCUGCGAAAGCAUUUGCCAAGGAUGUUUUCAUUAAUCAAGAACGAAAGUUAGGGGAUCGAAGACGAUCAGAUACCGUCGUAGUCUUAACCAUAAACUAUGCCGACUAGGGAUCGGA
rnacentral:rRNA from 1 species